rnacentral:rRNA from 1 species
GUUGGGGAGCAAACAGGAUUAGAUACCCUGGUAGUCCACGCUGUAAACGAUGUCGAUUUGGAGUUUGUUGCCUAGAGUGAUGGGCUCCGAAGCUAACGCGAUAAAUCGACCGCCUGGGGAGUACGGCCGCAAGGUUAAAACUCAAAUGAAUUGACGGGGGCCCGCACAAGCGGUGGAGCAUGUGGUUUAAUUCGAUGCAACGCGAAGAACCUUACCUGGUCUUGACAUCCAUAGAAUUCUGCAGAGAUGUGGGAGUGCCUUCGGGAACUAUGAGACAGGUGCUGCAUGGCUGUCGCCAGCUCGUGUUGUGAAAUGUUGGGUUAAGUCCCGCAACGAGCGCAACCCUUAUUCUUUGUUGCCAGCGAUUUGGUCGGGAACUCAAAGGAGACUGCCGUUGAUAAAGCGGAGGAAGGUGGGGACGACGUCAAGUCAUCAUGGCCCUUACGACCAGGGCUACACACGUGCUACAAUGGCGUAUACAAAGGGAAGCGAAGGUGCGAGCUGGAGCGGAUCUCAUAAAGUACGUCUAAGUUCGGAUUGGAGUCUGCAACUCGACUCCAUGAAGUCGGAAUCGCUAGUAAUCGUAGAUCAGAAUGCUACGGUGAAUACGUUCCCGGGCCUUGUACACACCGCCCGUCACACCAUGGGAGUGGGUUGCACCAGAAGUAGAUAGCUUAACCGCGAGGGGGGCGUUUACCACGGUGUGAUUCAUGACUGGGGUGAAGUCGUAACAAGGUAACCA